rnacentral:rRNA from 1 species
UUCCGGUUGAUCCUGCCAGACCUGACUGCUAUCGGAUUGAUACUAAGCCAUGCGAGUCAUUGUAGCAAUACAAGGCAGACGGCUCAGUAACGCGUAGUCAACCUAACCUAUGGACGGGAAUAACCUCGGGAAACUGAGAAUAAUGCCCGAUAGAACACUAUACCUGGAAUGGUUUGUGUUCCAAAUGAUUUAUCGCCGUAGGAUGGGACUGCGGCCUAUCAGUUUGUUGGUGAGGUAAUGGCCCACCAAGACUAUUACAGGUACGGGCUCUGAGAGGAGUAGCCCGGAGAUGGGUACUGAGACACGGACCCAGGCCCUAUGGGGCGCAGCAGGCGAGAAAACUUUGCAAUGUGCGAAAGCACGACAAGGUUAAUCCGAGUGGUUUCUGCUAAAGGAACCUUUUGUUAGUCCUAGAAACACUAACGAAUAAGGGGUGGGCAAGUUCUGGUGUCA